GGCAAUGGAGGAGAAGAAAAGACCCAACUUUGUUUUUUUUUCACCCUUUUAAUUAUUUGAUUCCUCUUAUAAUUUAUGACAUAUAAUAACUUGAUUUAAAAUAAAACUAUUUGAUAUUAUUUAACUAAAAUAUAACAUACAAAAUGCCAAAAUGUGUCAUUCAUGCCCAUCAUUGCCGUCCACUACCAAGAAAAAGGAAUGUUUGACAUGCAAGUCCCUCAUGCUUCAAACCAUGCAAUUUUUAGCCACUACCAAUUAACCUAUGAC
rnacentral:lncRNA from 1 species